rnacentral:rRNA from 1 species
AUGAACGCUAGCUACAGGCUUAACACAUGCAAGUCGAGGGGCAGCAUGGUCUUAGCUUGCUAAGGCCGAUGGCGACCGGCGCACGGGUGAGUAACACGUAUCCAACCUGCCGUCUACUCUUGGACAGCCUUCUGAAAGGAAGAUUAAUACAAGAUGGCAUCAUGAGUCCACAUGUUCACAUGAUUAAAGGUAUUCCGGUAGACGAUGGGGAUGCGUUCCAUUAGAUAGUAGGCGGGGUAACAGCCCACCUAGUCUUCGAUGGAUAGGGGUUCUGAGAGGAAGGUCCCCCACAUUGGAACUGAGACACGGUCCAAACUCCUACGGGAGGCAGCAGUGAGGAAUAUUGGUCAAUGGGCGAGAGCCUGAACCAGCCAAGUAGCGUGAAGGAUGACUGCCCUAUGGGUUGUAAACUUCUUUUAUAAAGGAAUAAAGUCGGGUAUGGAUACCCGUUUGCAUGUACUUUAUGAAUAAGGAUCGGCUAACUCCGUGCCAGCAGCCGCGGUAAUACGGAGGAUCCGAGCGUUAUCCGGAUUUAUUGGGUUUAAAGGGAGCGUAGAUGGAUGUUUAAGUCAGUUGUGAAAGUUUGCGGCUCAACCGUAAAAUUGCAGUUGAUACUGGAUAUCUUGAGUGCAGUUGAGGCAGGCGGAAUUCGUGGUGUAGCGGUGAAAUGCUUAGAUAUCACGAAGAACUCCGAUUGCGAAGGCAGCCUGCUAAGCUGCAACUGACAUUGAGGCUCGAAAGUGUGGGUAUCAAACAGGAUUAGAUACCCUGGUAGUCCACACGGUAAACGAUGAAUACUCGCUGUUUGCGAUAUACAGCAAGCGGCCAAGCGAAAGCGUUAAGUAUUCCACCUGGGGAGUACGCCGGCAACGGUGAAACUCAAAGGAAUUGACGGGGGCCCGCACAAGCGGAGGAACAUGUGGUUUAAUUCGAUGAUACGCGAGGAACCUUACCCGGGCUUAAAUUGCAGAUGAAUUACGGUGAAAGCCGUAAGCCGCAAGGCAUCUGUGAAGGUGCUGCAUGGUUGUCGUCAGCUCGUGCCGUGAGGUGUCGGCUUAAGUGCCAUAACGAGCGCAACCCUUGUUGUCAGUUACUAACAGGUUCCGCUGAGGACUCUGACAAGACUGCCAUCGUAAGAUGUGAGGAAGGUGGGGAUGACGUCAAAUCAGCACGGCCCUUACGUCCGGGGCUACACACGUGUUACAAUGGGGGGGUACAGAGGGCCGCUACCACGCGAGUGGAUGCCAAUCCCAAAAACCUCUCUCAGUUCGGACUGGAGUCUGCAACCCGACUCCACGAAGCUGGAUUCGCUAGUAAUCGCGCAUCAGCCACGGCGCGGUGAAUACGUUCCCGGGCCUUGUACACACCGCCCGUCAAGCCAUGGGAGCCGGGGGUACCUGAAGUGCGUAACCGCGAGGAGCGCCCUAGGGUAAAACUGGUGACUGGGGCU